ACACUUUAAUUUGUUAUUCGACACGAAAUAAUCUAUCUCAAGAGACAAUACCGUAUAUCCGAAACACUGUAUGUGCGUAGCCCUAGAACUUCUCGCUAAUCUAUACUUAUCCAAUAUAUCCUCGUCGCCAAUGUAAACUCUUUCUCUGUCUAUAGGGUAGGGGGAACUUGGAAUAAAUAUUAACUAACUUGCUAUGACACUGUUCGCUCCGUAGUGGGUAAACAACAACUAACUCCUCGGCCUCGCUCGGCCAUCUAUCAGCUCUCCCCACCACUGCGCGAUUCCUUUAUUAUUGUCUGUCAUACACUACAGAGAACAUGCACAAUAAUGUAAGAUUAGGUUUUUGGAAUGCUAGGAGCUUAAGUAAUAAGUAUAACGAAUUAAGAAGAAUAAUUGAUGAUUACGAUAUAUUUUGUGUAAACAAAACCUGGAUGUACAAAUGGACAUUUCAAAAAUUCAACGAGUAUAACAUUAUACAUAAUAAAAAUAACAGGAAGGAUAAUAAAAGCUUUACCACACCAGGUACAGGUAUGAUAAUUAUAUAUAAAGAUAACCUAAACAUUGAAUUAACCAAAGAAAAAAACAUAGAAAAUUAAUACAAAUACAUGAAGUUCGCAAUCAAGAAUAUGAAUGACAACGAAAUUUAUGAUAUAAAUUUUGUAGACAGAAAUCCUAAAGUAAACGCGAGCUAUGUGAAAUGAAACGAAUUAUUCGAGGAUCUGGAAUUAAAAGACAACUCAAUAAUAAUAGGGGAUUUAAAUGCAAAGUAUACGGAAUGGAACUGUGGAACACAAGACAUCUCAGGAAAGAACUUAAAGGAAAUCCUAGAGGAGUACGACAUGAUUGUGCAAAACUAUAACACAAUAUCAAGGUACAGCCCGAAUAACAAAAGUUUUAACAAUUCGAAUAUAGAUCUUAUAAUAACACCUUCCCAUUUAACGGGAACGGUCAAUUUUGCGGAAUCAGGAGAAUGCUUAGGGUCAGACCACCAAAUAAUAAAUCUCAGGUUAUAUACAAACGAAAAUGUAGAUUUGGAGUCAGACGGGUCCAAGAAACAUUUGGGUAACAGCAAACUAUAUAAAAACAAAGAAAGAGUGAACUGGAUGGAGUUCAGACAAAAACUGGAAGAGAAAAAAACCGUAAUAAAUCAAGAAUGAGAAGGUAUAACAAACAUCAAUUAUAAAUAUUUAAAUAAAAUAUAAAUUAUAAGAUGGUGUGAUCAUAUAUAUGAAGCUUUUCAGGAAAUGACUCAGCAUAGGAAAAACAAUAAAAAAAGAACCAGAAACCACAACCAGAAGAAAUAAACAAUACAAGAAGGAAGAAAAAUACAAAUAAAGAGGACUCAAGUCAAGACCAUAGAAAGAAGAGAAAUAUCUGGUGGAAUCAAGAAUGCGAAGAAGCAUGGAAGAAAUGGAAAAAAAGCUCGAAGACGUUAUGGAGAACGGGUAAACCCGAGGACUAUAAAAUAAUGGAACAUAACAGAAUGAAAUGGUUACAGUUAAAAAAAGAAAAGAAGGAGGCUACGUGGACUGCAUUCACAGAAGAGCUGUCUAGUGAAAAAAACAGUGGAAAACUGUGGAACAAGGUAAGAAGAAUAAAGAAUAUCUACAUGAAGGACAAAUCGACGUUAAACACCAGAAAAAGGUUGGAAUUGGAAGAAAUAGAAGUAGCAAAACUCGUGGAAAGAAACAGUAACUUGGAAAGCACUCAUAAAGAAACAAACGAACAUGAACAAAACGUCAGCCCCGAGCGACGACAAAAUAGAUUAUAUAAUAAUAAAUGAAUUGUCUUCAUUCAUGACAAAAUUGUUAUGCUGCAUUAUAAAGGAGACCUGGGAACAAAUGACACUACCCAAAGAGUGGAAAAUGGGUAGGAUGUGUCUACUGGAAAAACCUGGAAAAGCAGCCCUGAGACCAAUCACUUUAACUUCAUGCACAGGCAAAAUUAUAGAGAAAAUAAUAAAUACAAGACUAAAUCUUUGGGCAGAAGAAAACAAUAUCAUCGAUGAAACACAAUCCGGAUUCAGACACAAAAGAGGAACAGUUGAUAAUCUAAAUAGAAUAGUAAUGGAAAUAAAAGAUAACAGCAGAAAAAAUAAUACCACAGCAACGGCUUACAUAACAUAAAAGGGGCGUAUGACAAUGUCAACUUUGACAAGCUCAUACAAAUACUAAUGGAGAAGAAAUGGCCACCGAGGAUAUUAGGAUGGGUGAGCAACUGGCUAAAAGACAGGUUCAUCCAAAGAAUUAACAGUCCAGAAUACACAAACAUUAAUUUACGCGGAUGAUGUAGGAAUUAUAACAAAGGACAAGGACAUAAAGGAAACUAAGAGUAAAAUAAAGAAAAGCAUUCAACAACUAAAUACCUUUCUAAAAAGCAGGGAUCUAGAAAUAUCAGUAGAUAAAACCAAAAUCACCUGUUUUGGACAACAACCUCAAGAGAAAUCAAUAAAGGUACUAAAAAUCAUUACGAAAUCGUCAACCAAGCAAAAUUUUUAGGAAUCACGAUAGAUAAUCAACUUAGUUUCAGACCACACAUUAAGGAAAUGAUAGAAAAGUUCAAAAGAAGAGCCAAUAUAAUAAGGUAUCCCUGCCAUGGUAAUAAGGGGGUUAAUCAGAGCCAUGCGUUAAUGUUUACGAGAGCACUGAUAUCAUCGGUUGUGGAGUACGCCACGCCGGUGUACCUAACUUUUGAUGGACAAAAAAGUAUACAAAACACUUUAAGAAAAGCGGAAACGGCAGCCUUAAGGUCAGCGAUAGGCUACAGAAUAUCUACUCCACUUAAUGUGAUCUACAUGGAGUGUGGUUGGACUACACUACUAAACAGAGCCAUUUUUCUGGCCAGCAAAUACUGGAUACGUCAAUUUGAAAAAAGUAAAGAGAACAACCCCACGCUACAAUUAUUUAUGAAAAUCAAAGAACAAAAUAAACAAAUCAACGAAACACACAUGACUAACAGAAUCCACACCAGGCCAAACAUAUUGGAAUGUGCAUUCUACGAUAUAUGGAAAUGGAAGGAUCAAAUAUUCACCAGGGAAUUUAUUUCCGAGGGUCUAAUAAAAUGGAACAAUCUGAGAAACGGAACCACAAUUACAGGGGAAUUAAGUAAUAAGAAGUGGAAACUGGACAAUGAAACAGGUAAAUUAAUAAAUGACA